UUAGCUCAUAUUUGUAUGGAAUGGGAUCGUUUGCCUACAUUUGCCGCUAGGGGCGCUGUUCCAACUGCAUACAAAAUUGGGCUA
rnacentral:pre_miRNA from 1 species